AUGCCUUACCUGGGAAAUCCACAUUCUUCUGGAGUGAAAUUACAAGUGGAAAAACUGUGGACAUGUGUCCCAGGUUUAAGGCAAUGCACCAAUUUCUUCCUCCUUAUGCCAUACAGAGCUGGGACUGUGAGACUACGCCAACCUUUCCCUUGUGUAAUGUCAAUGUCGGCUAUCACUUUGGCAGAAUCACCCAGCUCAGUGAAGACAGAAAACCCCUCCUUUCCUCCUGUUUUUCAUCUGCUGGUGGCAUUCCAAGUGACCUUCCCUCAUAAAUAUUGCUUCAUGGUCACCAUUGUCAUUCAUUUGACAAAAAGAACCCCUAUCUGCUAGCAGUGGUGCAUCCAGCUUCUGCAAGGAGCUAGAAAAGCAGGUAGCUAGCUUUUAUUUUUCUGAAAUGUGCCAUUUUAUUCUUGGAUGAUGUCUGACUGUGGCCUCAGAAUUCAAAUUUGAUGCUAUUGCACUGUAGUUUGAGCAACAACUCACAAGGGAAGGUAACACAAACUACUGUAUUCCAAGGCUUAUUUUCACCCAUUUUAACUUCCAAGGGGAGGAAAUGCAUGUUCAAUUUGUUAUUUUUCAUUCUUAAUCUUAGAUCAACAGUGGGUUACUUUGAAAAAGUUGAAAAAAUAGGAGGAAUCAAUUCUGAGUGACAAUGUUGUGAAAAAUUUACAUAUUUCAGUUUUACGGAAGUGUUGUGACCUUUUUUUGCUCUCCUGUAUCUCAGAAGUAUGUG
rnacentral:lncRNA from 1 species